AGGGACUUUCAGGGGCAGCUGUGUUUCCUGACUCAGUCAUAAUGCCCCUAAAAAUCCUUAU
rnacentral:pre_miRNA from 5 species